GCGCAAGACAGGGGUAAUUGGAGAUCACAGGGAGAGGCCUUCAUUCUGCAGUGGACAUAAAUAUAGGCUGAUGAUGAUGAUGAUGUUGCAGUCAAAUGAAACCAAGGGCAGCAACCUUAUAUGGAGUUAGAAGGCCUCAAGAGGACACUGCAAAUUGUGUAGCUAAUGGCCUCGCGAUUUCAACUCUGGUGACUGACCGUCACUCAGAUAAAGACAUUUACAUCAAAGGAGACCUGCAUAGAGCGCAACUUUGAUUGCUGGCACGUCGCCAUGAGUGGGUUCUGCUUUAUUAUUUUUUUUAUAAGCAGAAAUACCAGUGCUUUAAACUGGUACUUGUCGAGAAUUAGCGACAUUUUGUCGAGAAUUGUCGAGAAUUAUCGAAAUUUUGUACAGUGGGCUCAAAAAGAAGCUGACAGCAGCAGCGGAGCUUAAAUUUCAGGAGCUGGCUCCAUGGAUACCUGCUGUCGUCAGUCACCUGUAUUGGUGCGCUCUCUCAAGCCGGGUGCAACCUGAGCUAAUUCUAGCAAAGUGGCGCUCCCCUGUCCGUCAUGUCGUCAACAAUCACGUACAUAAUGAGAUCCUUUAUCGAAGGUGCGAGCAUGAGCCAUUGGCUAAGAAGUGGCUGGAAGAAAGUAUGUGGGUGUUCAAAUGUUUUUUUCUUUUCAGUAUUCUUGCAUUAUUUCCAAUGCGCUCCUUUAGCAUCGCCAGCGCACCGAAAACUGACAGCCAUCAUCCUAAACAAGGUUUUGCUCAGACAUUCCUCGACUAUCCACGAGCGCGCAAGCAUUUGCUGUUGAAUGCUUUCAUAGCACCAUCACUCAGUUUGUUCUGAAAAAUAAUCAUUUUGGGUAUUCCAGCAUGGUAGCAAGGUAAAACGUUUUGCGCCUAAGCUGUUUAGGUGGCCCGUUAUGAUGUCAACGGAUAUGGUUCUGUUUCCUUUCAGAACACGCCUUGCUGCACUCCCCUAUAACGAAAAUUGUGCAAGGCAGGAAGCAACCACUGACGGUGUGUGGGACAAAUAGGUGGCUGGUGAAAUAACCGAAGGCGAGAAAGGCUGCCGUUGUCGCACCAGUGAAAGAAUCUUGCACAUACGGCUGUGUGAACGACUUGCUAAGUGUGCUGUGGACCUGUGACGGAAUGCGAGCUCCUACAGGAAGGCAUUGGAGCAUACAAGUAUGAAAGUGCCUCCUCCACUUUCAAGCAACUUCGAACGUGCUGACAAUGAAGCUCUUGUGGCAGCAUAUACAAGGCGCUUUAAUAUUUGACUAACACAGCAAUAGUUCACUGAACAAGACAUGUCAAUUUGGCAGGAAACUCUGGGUGUUUAUUGAGGAGGAACUGCCAUCACGCGUCCAGGUAGCCAGUGUAAUGCCCUCCUGGUGUAGGAAACUCUAUCCUGAUCCUAUGGACAGCACAGCUUGGUAGAACGACCCGGUUACCUUGACCAAGUCACCUGUACACUCGCCAAACAAACUGUCGAUAGGCAGUGUAUCGGUAUUGGCUGCAAAAAAUAUGUAUAUAUAAUUAAUA
rnacentral:lncRNA from 1 species